rnacentral:rRNA from 1 species
UACGUAGGGUGCGAGCGUUGUCCGGAAUUAUUGGGCGUAAAGAGCUCGUAGGCGGUGUGUCACGUCGGCCGUGAAAUCCUGCAGCUUAACUGUGGGCGUGCGGUCGAUACGGGCAUCACUGGAGUUCGGCAGGGGAGACUGGAAUUCCUGGUGUAGCGGUGAAAUGCGCAGAUAUCAGGAGGAACACCGGUGGCGAAGGCAGCACCCUGGGCCGGUACUGACGCUGAGGAGCGAAAGCGUGGGGAGCAAACAGG